UACAGAGGUGCCAAGCGUUAGGCGGAAUCACUGGGCUUAAAGCGCGCGUAGGCGGAUGUUUAAGUGUCUUGUGAAAUCCCACGGCUCAACCGUGGAACUGCUGGGCAUACUGGACAUCUUGAGGCACUCAAGGGCGAGCGGAACAAGUGGUGGAGCGGUGAAAUGCGUAGAUAUCGUUUGGAACGCCAAUGGUGAAAACAGGUAACUGGGGCUGUGCCGACGCUGAGACACGAAAGCCAGGGGAGCGAACGGG
rnacentral:rRNA from 1 species